rnacentral:tRNA from 1 species
UAAGAUUUUAAGUUAAUUUUUAUUAAAACUAUUUACCUUCAAAGUAGAAAAUAUUUAAAGAAAAUAAAUCUUAG